GUUAGGCCAUGAAGCAUUUUUAUGUCUAAAACUAAAUUCUCAUCUCUAAACAUCCCUAUUAACAUAGCAGAUUUGAGUUGCAACCAUCCUCCUAAUAAAAUUAUGAAAUCUUUAGAAUUGGGAAGCAUUUGUAAAUAAUGGGUCCUUUAAAUAUCCCUGAACUUUAUUCUAAAACUUAUAAAGAGAAAUAAUAAUUGCUUUAUAUAACCACUGAUACCAUUUUAGCAUUUGAUGAAGAUGUUAAUUUAUGGUUGGUUAGCAGUUUAUGGCUGUCAUUAGUUUUUCAGUUUGGUCCACAUUAGAAAUCUAUUUUUCUUUUUUAUUUUAAUCUGAGACAAUUAUAUAAAGAUAUGGUUAUGUUUUAUCUAAAAUGUAUCAUUCUAGUGUAGCAUUUCAAAUUAUUCACAGAUCAUAGUUCUUAUAUGUGCAUAUAUGAAUUUAAAAAUACAGCAAUAAAAUGCUUGAAACAGAUCAU
rnacentral:lncRNA from 1 species